CGUGUCCGGUAGUGGGGGAUAGCCCGGCGAAAGCCGGAUUAAUACCGCAUACGAUCUAAGGAUGAAAGCGGGGGAUCUUCGGACCUCGCCCGAUAGGGGCGGCCGAUGGCAGAUUAGCUAGUUGGUGGGGUAAAGGCCUACCAAGGCGACGAUCUGUAGCUGGUCUGAGAGGACGACCAGCCACACUGGGACUGAGACACGGCCCAGACUCCUACGGGAGGCAGCAGUGGGGAAUUUUGGACAAUGGGCGCAAGCCUGAUCC
rnacentral:rRNA from 1 species